rnacentral:rRNA from 1 species
UUUUAUGGAGAGUUUGAUCCUGGCUCAGGACGAACGCUGGCGGCGUGCCUAAUACAUGCAAGUCGAGCGGAAAUUUUAUUGGUGCUUGCACCUUUGAAAUUUUAGCGGCGGACGGGUGAGUAACACGUGGGUAACCUACCUUAUAGAUUGGGAUAACUCCGGGAAACCGGGGCUAAUACCGAAUAAUACUUUUUAACACAUGUUUGAAAGUUGAAAGACGGUUUCGGCUGUCACUAUAAGAUGGACCCGCGGCGCAUUAGCUAGUUGGUGAGGUAACGGCUCACCAAGGCAACGAUGCGUAGCCGACCUGAGAGGGUGAUCGGCCACACUGGGACUGAGACACGGCCCAGACUCCUACGGGAGGCAGCAGUAGGGAAUCUUCCACAAUGGACGAA